ACUUACUUUUUAUUGUCAGGUGAAGCUUAACAGAAGCAACUGGCUUAGAGGAUCCUGUCAGGAAUCUGACUUAGAUGAUUUCCUUCAAACCAAAAUUUUGAACCAAAUGUCCAAGCCAAGGUGACUGGAAUGACUGGGGCUGAGAACCACUGAGGUGUCCUGCUGCCUCUUUUACCUCCUUUUCUGACAUUAUCACUGCUGCCCUUGUGGAU